rnacentral:rRNA from 1 species
UUACGGGAGGCAGCAGUGAGGAAUAUUGCGCAAUGGGCGGAAGCCUGACGCAGCGACGCCGCGUGGGGGAUGACGGCCUUCGGGUUGUAAACCUCUUUCGGCAGGGACGAAGCGAAAGUGACGGUACCUGCAGAAGAAGCACCGGCCAACUACGUGCCAGCAGCCGCGGUAAUACGUAGGGUGCAAGCGUUGUCCGGAAUUAUUGGGCGUAAAGAGCUCGUAGGCGGUUUGUUGCGUCGGCUGUGAAAUCCCGAGGCUCAACCUCGGGUCUGCAGUCGAUACGAGCAAACUAGAGUGUUGCAGGGGAGACUGGAAUUCCUGGUGUAGCGGUGAAAUGCGCAGAUAUCAGGAGGAACACCGGUGGCGAAGGCGGGUCUCUGGGCAACAACUGACGCUGAGGAGCGAAAGCGUGGGGAGCGAACAGGAUUAGAUACCCCGGUAC